UACGUAGGGCGCAAGCGUUAUCCGGAAUUAUUGGGCGUAAAGAGCUCGUAGGCGGUUUGUCGCGUCUGCCGUGAAAGUCCGGGGCUCAACUCCGGAUCUGCGGUGGGUACGGGCAGACUAGAGUGAUGUAGGGGAGACUGGAAUUCCUGGUGUAGCGGUGAAAUGCGCAGAUAUCAGGAGGAACACCGAUGGCGAAGGCAGUUCUCUGGGCAUUAACUGACGCUGAGGAGCGAAAGCAUGGGGAGCGAACAGG
rnacentral:rRNA from 1 species